AGGGUUCAUGAAGCAUCCAUAAAGGGUUCAUGAAGCAUCCAUAAAGGGUUCAGGAAGCAUCCAUAAAGGGUUCAUGAAGCAUCCAUAAAGGGUUCAGGAAGCAUCCAUAAAGGGUUCAGGAAGUAUCCAUAAAGGGUUCAGGAAGCAUCCAUAAAGGCCUUAUGAAGGGUUCAGGAAGCAUCCAUAAAGGGUUCAGGAAGCAUCCAUAAAGGCCUUAUAAAGGUGACGCUGUGUCACGCCAGGUGCUCCUAUAUCACGCCAGGCGGCGCUGUGUCACGCCAGGUGCUCCUAUAUCACGCCAGGCGAUACUAUAUCACUCCAGGUGCUCCUAUGUCACG
ensembl:lncRNA